GUCGUACAGGUUGUCCUCGACCAGCUCCACCGUGAUGAAGUUGUCCCCUAACCUCCGGAUCUCCUGUAGCUCCUUCAUCAGCCUCCGCGUCCGCACCUGGGUGCAGUGUUGCCGGCGCUCUCGGCGGAGUUCCGGUGUCCUUGUCUCCCUGUGUGCGGCUUGACGCUCCGGUGCCCACCUGAGCUGGCAGAGCAGAGGGCUGGUCCCAGGCCAGGACACAGGCUGGGAAAUGCCAAGAGGAAGUCGGCUGGACUCGAAGGGCCGUUACGUGGCUUCAUCACCUUCUUUUUUUAAUCAGCCAUACAGCCCAAGUCUAUUAUUACACUUAAUAAGCCCUGCAGACAGUUACUUAAAAGCUUGUACUAAACAAAGUCCUCAGCCUUAAUUUAGAAGUUAAUAGGAAAUUACAGGUGUUUUGCCCCCCCUUCCUUACUUCCUGUGAGGUAGUGGAAAAUAAAAACGUGGUCCAAAAUCUCCAGUUGGUUACAAUUAUAACAGUAGGCUACAACUAACAUAAUAAACUGACCCAAUUAAAAUGCUAUGAUCUGAUUUUCAGGGUUGAUUUCUGGGUGACCUUCAUACAAUAACCCUGUGAUGGAAAAUGAGAAUGUAUAGCUGCAUUAAUGAUAUGUUUUAGCUAAAAAGGUGAAGGUAAGGGUAAGGCAUCUGCUAUUUGAUUUUAUUCACAUGCCAUAUACCUUUGCAUGGUUUUCGUGAAGAUCAGAUAUUAAAAUUGAAUUGAACUGAACACUAAUCUAUUCACUUUCUGGUUAUAAAUGUUUUAUAUGCAUAUUAUAAAAGAGCUCUGCUUAUUUCACAUUGAGAGAUUUUUGACUAAGUCUUCUAGCAGGGGUGCAGGGAAGGGGAUCAUGUAGGCUGCAGAAAUCAGGCACCAAACAGUGGAGAAAACAAACAAAUAAAUGAAUGAAUAUAUGAAAAUAAAUAAAUAAAGGCAUACGUGUUUCUCUCAAUGUAUCCUGGAACUUAAAUUAAAGUUCCAUGUUAGUUCCAUGUAAAUUCAUCAGCUGUAAACAUUGUGCUAGUUCAGUUUUAACACAUCAAGUAACGCUGCAGAAAUUCCUUUUAGCUCUUGAAUAAUUUGUAUAAGCAAUUUUGUGAAUGCUCUGUAAUUAUUUAUUAAUGCCUUAGUGCAGGUGUUUAGUAGACUACAUGUCUUGAAAUCCUGAUUUCAUCUUUAUUUUGUAGGCUACACUAUAUUUUGUAUAACACUUUGGCAACAUUAUUUCUGAUUCUCAGUCAUGCCAAUAAAGUUUCUGUAUUAAACUGAGAUGAAUGAAACUAA